UACGGAAGGCAGCAGUGGGGAAUAUUGCACAAUGGGCGAAAGCCUGAUGCAGCUAUGCCGCGUGUAUGAAGAAGGCCUUAGGGUUGUAAAGUACUUUCAUCGGGGAGGAAAAACAAAACUAAUAAUUUUAUUUCUUGACGUUACCCGAAAAAGAAGCACCGGCUAACUCCGUGCCAGCAGCCGCGGUAAUACGGAGGGUGCUAGCGUUAAUCAGAAUUACUGGGCGUAAAGAGCACGUAGGUGGUUUUUUUAAGUCAGAUGUGAAAUCCCUGGGCUUAACCUAGGAACUGCAUUUUGAAACUGAAAUACUAGAGUAUCGUAGAGGGAGGUAGAAUUCUAGGUGUAGCGGUGAAAUGCGUAGAUAUCUGGAGGAAUACCUGUGGCGAAAGCGGCCUCCUAAACGAAUACUGACACUGAGGUGCGAAAGCGUGGGGAGCAAACAGGGAUUAGAUA
rnacentral:rRNA from 1 species